rnacentral:rRNA from 1 species
AACGAACGCUGGCGGCAGGCCUAACACAUGCAAGUCGAACGAAGUCUUCGGACUUAGUGGCGCACGGGUGAGUAACACGUGGGAAUAUACCUUACGCUGGGGGAUAACAUCGGGAAACUGAUGCUAAUACCGCAUACGCCCUUCGGGGGAAAGAUUUAUCGGCGAAAGAUUAGCCCGCGUCCGAUUAGCUAGUUGGUGAGGUAAUGGCUCACCAAGGCUCCGAUCGGUAGCUGGUCUGAGAGGAUGACCAGCCACACUGGGACUGAGACACGGCCCAGACUCCUACGGGAGGCAGCAGUGGGGAAUAUUGGACAAUGGGCGCAAGCCUGAUCCAGCCAGGCCGCGUGAGUGAUGAAGGCCUUAGGGUUGUAAAGCUCUUUCACCCACGACGAUGAUGACGGUAGUGGGAGAAGAAGCCCCGGCUAACUUCGUG